rnacentral:ncRNA from 1 species
CCGAAUCGGUAGACGCUACGGACUUAAAGAAUUUGAGCUUUAGUAAAAAAACUUAUUAAAUGUUAGCUUUCAAAUUCAGGAAAACUUAGGUUGAAAAAAAAUAUAAGCAAUCCUGAGCCAAAUAUUUUAUUUUUUACAAAUAAAAAUAGUAAAAAAUGAAAAUAGGUGCAGAGACUCGAUGGAAGCUAUCCAAAUGCAAAAAAACUUUAACAUUAUUUAAUUAAAAUUUUUAUGUUAAUGGAAAUAAAAAAAUUUAACUAAAUUAUUGUUUAGUUAAAUAAUAAGUGAGGAUAAAGGUAGAGUCCAAAUUUAUAUGUUAAUUUUUUUAGCAACAAUGUAAAUUGUAGUAAAAAGAAAAUCCGUUGGUUUUAUUGACCGUGAGGGUUCAAGUCCCUCUACCCCUAAAACUAUGAAUUUUUUUAUUGACAUAAAUAUUUAAGUUAUGGUAAGAUAGUCCAAACAGAAAGCCGGAAUAGCUCAGUUGGUAGAGCAGAGGACUGAAAAUCCUCGUGUCACCAGUCAAAAUA